CCUACGGGAGGCAGCAGUGGGGGAUAUUGCACAAUGGGGGAAACCCUGAUGCAGCGACGCCGCGUGGAGGAAGAAGGUUUUCGGAUUGUAAACUCCUGUCGUUAGGGACGAUAAUGACGGUACCUAACAAGAAAGCACCGGCUAACUACGUGCCAGCAGCCGCGGUAAU
rnacentral:rRNA from 1 species